rnacentral:ncRNA from 1 species
CAAAAACUUGGUCCUAAUUUUACUGUCAACCCUGGCCCAACUUACACAUGCAAGUAUCCGCACCCCUGUGAGAAUGCCCUACAGUUCCCCAUCCGGGAACAAGGAGCUGGUAUCAGGCACAACAUAUUAGCCCACAACACCUUGCUUAGCCACACCCCCAAGGGAACUCAGCAGUGAUAAACAUUAAGCCAUAAGUGAAAACUUGACUUAGUCAAAGCCAAGAGGGCCGGUAAAACUCGUGCCAGCCACCGCGGUUAUACGAAUGACCCAAGUUGACAGAUACUCGGCGUAAAACGUGGCUAAGCUACACACUCCCACUAAAGCCAAACACCUUCAAAGCUGUGAUACGCAAUCGAAGGCAGGAAGUCCCACCACGAAAGUGGCUUUACCUAAUCUGAGUCCACGAAAGCUAGGAGACAAACUGGGAUUAGACACCCCACUAUGCCUAGCCCUAAACACUGAUAGCACUCCACACCCGCUAUCCGCCCGGGAACUACGAGCAACAGCUUGAAACCCAAAGGACUUGGCGGUGCUUUAGACCCACCUAGAGGAGCCUGUUCUAGAACCGAUAACCCCCGUUCAACCUCACCCCUCCUUGUUUUACCCGCCUAUAUACCGCCGUCGUCAGCUUACCCUGUGAAGGUCUAAUAGUAAGCAGCCCUGGUACCACCCAAAACGUCAGGUCGAGGUGUAGCGUACGGAGGGGGAAGAAAUGGGCUACAUUCACUACAACAGUGAACACGGACGAUGUGCUGAAACGCAUAUCUGAAGGAGGAUUUAGCAGUAAACAGGAAAUAGAGCGUCCCGCUGAAACUGGCCCUGAAGCGCGCACACACCGCCCGUCACUCUCCCCAAAACCCCCACAACAAUUAACUAAAACCUAAUGACCUAUAAAGGGGAGGCAAGUCGUAACAUGGUAAGUGUACCGGAAGGUGCACUUGGAAAAUC